GGGGGGGCCGCGGGGCGAAACAUGGAAGUUGCGUCGUUUCCCGGCCCGGCUGGAAAAGUUGGCCGGGGCGGUGUGAGAGGCGCGGGUCUGUUUUCGACGAGCGGGUGCUGCGCGGGGAGGGAAAAUGUCUCCGAGCAGAGCCGGGCUGCGCCGAGGGCUUGGUCUGGGGGGGCUCGCCGUGAGUGUGGGAAUGCCCUUUGCGCAACAGCACGCCAGGUUGUGUCAGCCUUCUUCAAACUAUAAACUUUUUUGUGUGGGUGGGGUUGCUGCUAAAAUUAUUUGCAGGCAGCGCUAACAAGUGAAGUGUCGCCGAGGAAUGGGUUUCUGUUACGCGCAAGGAUUAUUUUUUUUUACUUCGGUCGAGCGCUGGUGCAGAUGAAAAAGCAGCGUGAGUGACUACUUUUGGCCGACUUCGGCAGCGGAGGAAGGAUGGGAGAACAAUUUCGGGGGGG